AGCGCCAAAACAUUACACAUGUCUCAAGGCGCUUCACAGAGCGUCAAACCUUCAAAGUGAGCCCAUGAGCAACAGGGGCAAGGAAAAACUCCCUAUAAUUGGAGAUAUAUAUAGGAAGAAACCUCAGACAGAUCCACGACGCGUAUCAUUAUAGUCUUUGCAGUAUGUCCGCCGGAAACGUCCUGUUCGAGGUGACCAUGACGGAAGCAGAACUGUUGCCUCAGGAAAAGAAAAAGAAGAAAAAGAACAAGAAACACCGACCAGAGUUGGCGCCAGAACCUGGCAGUCCUCAAGAGACAGCCACCGAAGUGGACUCUGUCAAGACAUACAAACACAAGAAGAAGAAAUCAAAAGGACCUGAGGAAGAUGACUUUACACCAGCUGAGGUUCCAUGUGGAAUUGGUGAAAGAAAAAAGAAAAGAAAACGUGAAGCAGAGAACUUAAACGUGACACGAGUGAUGACGGAAGAGUCUGCAGACGUUGCUGUUCCCCAGGAGGGAGAAAUUAAGAAGAAAAAGAAGAAAAAGAAAAGGAGAGCUGAUGAGACGGUCUCCACUGGAGAGAACACAGAGGCAGAUGUGUCGCUCACGCCGGUGCAAGUGGACAGUGAGGCGUCCCAACAGAAGCCUGCCAAGAAGAGCCAGUCCGAGAAGAUCAGAAAAAACGCAAAUUCUCAGCCUGCGGAAAACACACUCUCUCCUGCAGAAAACACACUCUCUCCUGCGGAAAACACACUCUCUCCAGCGGAUGACACACUCUCUCCUGCAGAAGACACGCUCUCUCCUGCGGAAGACAGAUUCGUUGCUCUUCCCCAGGAGGAAGAACUGAAGAGGAGAGAGAAGAAAAAGAAAAGGAGAGCUGAUGAGACGGUCUCCACUGGAGAGAGCACAGAGGCAGAUGUGUCACCCACGCCGGUGCAAGUGGACAGUGAGGCGUCCCAACAGAAGCCUGCCAAGAAGAGGAAGUCCGAGAAGAUCAGAAAAAUCGCAAAUUCUCAGCCUGCGGAAAACACACUCUCUCCAGCGGAAGACGGACUCUCUCCUGCGGAAGACACACUCUCUCCUGCGGAAAACACACUCUCUCCUGCGGAAGACACACUCUCUCCUGCGGAAAACACACUCUCUCCUGCGGAAGACAGACCCUCUCCUGCAGAAGACACACUCUCGCUCACAGACACCACGCCUCACCUGGAUGAUGGGCUAAAGGAAGCACCUGUGCUGGACCUGGACGAUGCUGUGCUCCAGGAGCUCAAGGAGUUUUUGCCCAACUUCCAGCUCCACGACCACGCCUGGGUUGUGAAGGUCAUCAACUAUGACCUACCCCGCUUCAGAGAAUUCAAGACGCAAGGUAUCCCUGUGCGCACCGGGAGGUUCACUGCCUCCGAGAACAAGAAGCUGCAGCUGAAUGUGAAAAACUUCCUGCUGAUCAGCGGGAUUGACAGCGCGGAGAAGCUUUUCAAACCACACCGCUUCCCGGAUGAGAUGUCUACCAUCAGGAGUCAGAAGAGACAGCUCGGGUUUAUUCGUAGUGUCUGUGCUGGGAUACCUCGUAGCUGGUUCACCAUCCUCGCACGAGCCAGGAAGAUGUUUGACGAGGAGAAUUACAAGGGAAAGUUUACAGAAGACGAGAACGAGGCUUUGAAAAAGCUGCACACACUGCAUGGGACAAACUGGUUGACCAUCUCAGACAAGAUGGGCCGCAGCCAAGAAGCUGUAAAGAAACGCUUUGCCAUGAUGUCUGAGGCUCAUGGGUCAUGGUCGGAGGCGGAGAUGAAGACGCUGUUGACCAGCGUACGGCAGCUGCUGCUGGAGAGGGCGGAGCCUGAUGCGGACGGCUCCUUGAUCAUCAAGAAGAGCGACCUGUACAAGAAGCUGGCCUGGGUGUGUGUGGCAGAGCAACAGCAGGCUCGAAGCUGGCUGCAGUGCAGGGAGAAAUGGAUGGAAUACCUCACAAGAAGAAUGACGACUGGAGGAACGAUCAAAGGGAGGAAGAGCCUAAAUGGGCAAAUCCAGCUGAUCAAAGCACUCAAUGAAAUGGCUGUGGAGGACCCUGCAGACAUCGUCUGGGACGACCUGACUCAUCUCUUCGGGAACACUCCUCCUGACUAUCUCCAAAUGAGGUACUACCAGCUGAAGCUGACCUAUGUCCCGGGCUGGAACACCAAGCCUUUCUGUGACGUCGUCGAUUUCCUGUAUGGGAAGGUGCUGCCCCAGCUGGAGGCUCAGCUGGAGACGUGUGAGGAGGAGGACAUGCCCUGUGAAGAACGCCAGACCUACAAGCUGUCCGAGAUCUUCCCCGACUCCUGACCCUCCUAGCGUGUGUGUGUGUGUGUGUGUGUGUGUGUGUGUGUGUGUGUGUGUGUGAGGAGGAGGAGGACAUGCCCUGUGAAGAACGCCAGACCUACAAGCUGUCCGAGAUCUUCCCCGACUCCUGACCCUCCUAGCGUGUGUGUGUGUGUGUGUGUGAGGAGGAGGAGGACAUGCCCUGUGAAGAACGCCAGACCUACAAGCUGUCCGAGAUCUUCCCCGACUCAUGACCCUCCUAGCGUGUGUGUGUGUGUGUGUGUGUGUGUGUGUGUGUGUGUGUGUGUGUGUGUGUGUGUGUGAGGAGGAGGACAUGCCCUGUGAAGAACGCCAGACCUACAAGCUGUCCGAGAUCUUCCCCGACUCCUGACCCUCCUAGCGUGUGUGUGUGUGCGUGUGUGAGAGAGAGAGAGUGUGUGAUUUAUCUGUUUGACUCUUCCUCAGAACCAUCGCCCCCAUUUCCGUUCGUCUUCUCCUGAGAAGCCUCCGUCCAGUUUCUAACCCACCCCCCGCCACCCCCCCCCCCCCAACCCUAACACCCCCCACACCAGUAGAGCAGCGUGCUUCCUCUUCACACUGGAUCUCCCCUGACUCAUGAGCGAAUGGCCAACUCCCAAAUAAACUGGUCUGAUUGGACAGGAGAACGGCACCCAGAUACAAACUGUGAUCUGAUUGGAACAGGAUAAAGACACCCAGAUACAAACUGUGAUCUGAUUGGAACAAGAGAAAGACACUCAGAUACAUGCAGAAUGUGUAUGACAUAUUUAUGUUUAUUUUUCUUGCUUUGUGGGCCUUUUUGUAAAGAACUUCAGAUGAAAUAGUUUUAUUGAUAUUAACGAUUUAAGAAAAUAUCAGCUAUGUUUUUUGUACUUUUUCUGAAAUUGAUAUUUUGAAAUUUGAAAAUAUUAUGCAAUGUAUCAUGAUUUAGUAGUAAUAGUAAAUCAAAUGAUUUUAA